UCUGUCUGGUCUUUGCCAUGCUGUCUGUUGACAGUGGUGCAGUGCAGUGCAGUUUAGUUUGUGAGAUCAAACCACAAAGAAAUGGAUCCAAGCUGCAAGAAUUUGGGAGCUGUAUGGGAUGAACGGAAAUUACCAGGCAGAUGAUACCAAUAGUUGAAAUCCAGUGGGAUGCCAUAAUUGCAAAUGGCUUCAACUAAGGUUGAACUUACUAUUGUAUCAACUAAGAUUUUCAACUGUGGAUUUGACACCGCCAUUGGUGGCAUGGAAAUGUCUCCGGCACAUGCAUCCAUACUGAGGUUAACAGGAAGCCAAAAGGCAGUGUUGUGUUAACAUGACAGAAGAUGAGGAUUGUGACAGGAGUUCAAGUCAUGGCAAAGUAGUUGUGACCAGCAUGCAGGAUAAACUGUUGUGAUGUAAACCUUUGGAUUCAAUGUUUGUAGUCUGUAUGUCACUACAAGGAGAAUUUGUGGAAAAACUUGUAUCAUUCAGUUUAAGCAGUUUUGUAUACUCAUUUUUGUUUAUUGAUUACAUAGUGAUGUGAAAUUUCUGUCUAUAAUAAACACUUUCUGGUCUAAAAUAAA